rnacentral:lncRNA from 1 species
CUUUAAUGAUUAUUUUUUGCUGCAUUUCCUUAACAGAUAUACCAGAAUAAGAAGGUGUGUUCUCCAUUCCAUCAAGCAUCUUAAUUAGGAUGUCUACCUGGAAUGAGGGAAGUUGUAUCAAAAAACAGAUAGUGCCCAUUUCAAAGCAGAAACUGAAGCACUGCUUUGGGAGCAUGUCUUAGUGCUGCCAGGUGCUUCUCCUUAGUGUCUCCUUCUGACACAGUUUUGCUUUAAUAUUUCAUGGAACAUUCGAUACAAAGCUCUACCGAUGUCAGUAACAGAUGGAGUAGCACUUAGCAAAAUAUUCUACAGCAUAUGUUCUCAGUAUUGAUCUGAGAUCUGAACUAUGGCCUUUUUCAACCUGGAAAAGUGCCUUCACUCUUCUCAAAAAAAAAAAAAAAAAAAGGCCAAAAACUGAUUGUUGGGGUUUUUUUUUUUGUUGCUGUUUGUUUUUUUCAGUUCAUUGUUCCUUUGUUCUAAGAGAGCCAACUUUUAAUCAUACUUCUUAAAGUCUUAAGCAUUAGUCACCCAAAAACAUUACUUGAUUUACAUAGGCUCUUUCAGUGAUAAACUAAUGAAGGCUUAUAUAGCUCUUACUACCAUAUGGGAUUCCAUGCAUAGUUCUUCCUCAUCUGCAUGUUUCCUCUGUAGCUGGUCACAGCUGUGUUCCCUGUUUGGAAUGGUUGUCUUAGUUCAUUUUCCAUCAGUUGUGUUCAUCUGUAUUCUAUCUUUUUUUUUCUGGCUUAUUUUUUUUCAGUCACUUAUUUGCCAGUUUCUCUUCAACUUUCUGUGUAUGUUUGAUUUCUUGAUAAAUGAACUAACCUGCAAGACUAACAAGUCUUCCAAUAUUUUUAGCAUUUGCCAGGAAAGAAAGCUCUGUAGGUGAGGAAGCCUGCACAUUACAAAGGUAAGUGAAGCAAAGUUCGUAUGUAAGGACACUAUCUUCUGUUAGAGCAGUUGCAGCUUCUAAAAGAGAUGCUUUUAAAUAUCAAGAGAAUGUUUUACAUUGUGAUCUCAACCAUCACUACUAAAGUAAUAACACUGUGUUUUGAAAGACAUUAGAGUGAGUAUUACCUUAAGGGAGCCUCCCAUUUCUCCUGUGUAGUUGGGUCUCAAAAAGCCUAAUGUCUGCUCUUAAAUAAUGUGAGGUAAGAGCAGUCAAAUCAGUCAAAAUAAAUAAAUCAGAAUUAAUUCUCUCUAGUAGCUGCUGGCUGACCAAAUCCUGUUUUGAGACUUGUCAGUAAAGAUGCUCUUAGUGCAGGGGCACUGGCCUGAGUUAUACUGGAGAAGGUAUGCCUGACAUGGAGCUAAUUAGUCAUGAAUGAUUUGGUACAGAUGUAUUUUGUUAUUACUGUGCUUAUGAAAGAAAACAUCACACCACUAGUAGUAUAUACCAAUAAUGAAGCAGAUAAUCGUGAACGCAUAAAGAGGAUCUUGUGAGGAUAAGUAUUUGAGUAGUUGGUUAGCCUUAUUUCACUUGCUUUUCUGUAAAGAAACAUAAUGAGCCAUUAACGCAUGUGUUUACUCCAAAUCAGAGCAUGCUUGAGUCAAAUCCAAGUUUUGUAGAUUUUCCUACUUUAUUCAUAUAACAAUUACAAAUAUUUCUACACUUUGGUAUUUAAUAAGCUGUGUGAUUUUACUUCUGAAAAAAUAGCUUCAGAGAGGGUUUAUUUCUUUCUGUUUUAUGUGAUGGUGUAUAUAGUCAAUUGCAGAGGUAAUUCUUGCCAUAUUUAAUGUAAGUAAAACAGUGACUUACGUUUACUUGAAUUUCUUGCCCUGUGCCCAGCUGAGCUACAUAUAGCCCCAGUAAUUGUUUUAGGUCAGGGUGUUAGUUAUUAACAUUCUGUAAGAUUCACAUAUCCAGAAAAGGAACUGCAAGGAGACACCAGCAAUUAUUUAUAUCCCAGUGGUAUAGCAAAUGGCUGGGGGAUACAAAGACAUACAAUAAGAAAAGAAUUUAAAAUGCUAGCUUGAGUGAGAAUCUAGAGGCCCUCACAGUUGAAUCACCAUUUCAGGUUUUCCUUUCCUCUUGCAUAAAAUUCUUCCUCUGCUGCCAUAAUGGUGGUUGGUUAUACUGUUAUACUGAAACUGCGUAUACACAAUUCAACUCCUCAGGACAGAUGUGAGUGAAUUUCAUCAGCUUUCUAUUGUGUAAAAACACCAAUGUGAUUUAAUCUUGGUAAUCUCUGAGAAGCUGAAAUGUGUAUCUAGCCAAGAUAGUUUUCAAGAAUCAUAACUCAAUCCAGUGAAAAUUGUAUUUCUUUGGGAGGAAAAAAAAAGUUACUUCCACAUGAAAUUUCAAGUGUUUGGCUAUAGUAGUUAAGCAAGACUGUCCUGAAAGAGUGGCUCAUAUUAUUUCUGAUAAGUAUAUUUUCUGUUUCCAAAAUAAAAAUGCUCAUUUGAUUGAAUUUUGUCUUCUCAGUAGCAUGCUUAAUAAUUUAUUCAUUGGCUGAGUUCAGGCCUGGAUUUGACACACAACAUGAAUACUCAGGUAGUGAAGUGAUUAAAAAGAUUCAGGUACUGAUAGGCAUUUUCAAGUGAAUGCAGUUUGACUUUAGAAUAAUGGUAACUUUGCUGUUAUUGCAACAUAAUCUGGUCCUGGUUACAACACAUUGCAAGAGAGGGUUCUUGGGAGUUGCCCAAGGCAUAGCAAUGGAAAUUAAAUAUAGUUUAUUAAGCCAAAAUUCUGCUUGCCUUCUCUCUUUAAAGGAUAACCAUUUGCAAUAGAGUGAAGAGAUAAUAUCAUUUCAUAAAGGAUUCAAAAAACUUGGAAGAACUUUUUUCUAAAAGCAUUUUUAGAUUUUUUUUUUCAUACAGAAAUUUCUGUGUGACUACUUCAAAACAGGGGGAAAAAAAUACUGAUUUUUCUCAUCUUUUUCUAAAUUAAAUUCAAAUGUAGACGCUUUCAGCUCAGCCAGGCUUGGAUGUUAUAAUGAUUUCUGGAGGAAAAUAUGGUUCCCUGGACGUUUCUCUGACCUCUUCUGCUGAUCCAUUCCAGCAGUAAAUGUCUAAUCACUUUCUGAAUCAUCUUACUAUCUCAGAAGGUAGAGACAGGUUUAAACAGUCUCUGCUGAAGAGGAAAAACUUUCCAUGUAUUCUAAAAAAGGAAAUAGAACAAGUGUCCUGCAACAAGUGAUAAUUUGUUAGCAUUUUAAGAAAAGCACACUAUCCUAGAAAUUGCAGGCAGCCUUUCUUAUAACGUGAUAAGGAGAAUUACUGCUAUGGCUAUCUUUAAAAGGAUACUGAAAUGGAACGUAUUUUGCAGCUGAAUUCAAGACCUAAUUCUGCCAGUCCCACUGAGUGGUAAGUAGCUCUAAUGGUAUUCUUUGAAUAAAAAACACUUCAACUGUCUUUUUCAAUGCGAAGCAGGGGUGAGGGGAAGGAGGGCACUUCCUUUAAUUACACACACACAAAAAGUCUGUCUUCUGAACAGUCUUAAAAAUGAACUAUAUGAAAGUACAAACUAUUGCCACGUGAAAUUUGGUUUUGAUUUGACUACCUUUCAGAUUUGCAUGCUAUGCAUGGUCAACACAUCUUGCAUGCUUGUUUUGUUCAGCUGAAAAGUAUAUAAUGACUUGAAAUGAAAGAGUGGGUGAUUUUCCUUUUUUUUUCUUUCUUUCUUUUUUUUUUUUUUUUGGUACUGUCCAGUAGAAAUAAAGCAGUUGUGGGUUACUCUACAUAGAUUGGAUGGAAAAUAAGGCAAAUAACUAUUUUGAAGGAAUUAAUUAUUUGCCAGAGCCUGAUUAGCCCUUGAUUCCAGCUCAGUCAUUACCUUCUUUACCACUGGCAUUCAUUUUGCACAGUCAAGCACUGCUUCUGCAGUAAGCAGGCCUAACUGAAGGCCUGAAACUGAUGAGUUUUAAGUAUCCUUAUCCAGUUCAAUUAUGAGUUCAUGUUCAUUGGGAAUGGUUGUGGAAAGGCCUAAUUGUUUGUCGUGAGUGCUUUUGUUAUGAGUGUGGUCUCUUUUCUUUCAGGUUGGUAGAUGUGCAUAUUUUGGAGUCUACCUCCCAUGCAGUUACUUGUGUUAAUAUUUUCUGCUAUGAAAAUAGCUUUGCUUAAGUUUAAAGGCCCUUAUUGUGAAGGGAGUGGAAAAUCGGGAUAUUUGAGUUGUCAAUAUAUAGCUGAUAGAAUUGCUAAGCAUCUCUGCAUGGUAUUGAAAGUAGAAGGGAGAAAAAGGUAAAUGCAAGAUGUUGAUGGCAGUAGGGAAGGAUCAGGUUGCAGAAGAAUAUCUACACAGAGAUAGCAGUCCUAAUCUAACAUCCCUACAUGGAUUCGCAUUGACGCCAGUGGUACUUUAUGCUACCACUGAGAACAGACCAUCUGUUAAAGUAUUUUGCUGUAAAAAGACAAAUCUGUGAAUGAGGUGGCAUGUGGUUAAACUGUGUUGUCAUACAUGGCCAGUGAAGUAUGUGCUUCCACCAACAGAAUCACAGCUCUCUCUUCUGGGCCAAAGCUCUCCUGUCUCUUCUAUGAGAGAAGUGGGCCCAAAUUCCUUUAGGCAGGUGAUGGGCAUCAGCUUGGUCACAACUCCUAUCACAGGGAGGGGGGAGGGGGUAGAAAUUGGUGCUUACCCCCUUUCGUUAAGAGAAAACAGAGGCAGUUUUUGUUCUGUGACCAGCCCACCUUGUCAGACCUCUGUCAUCUUCAAAGUCUGAGCACAAGGAACAUAUGUGAUGUCUGUGGAACUGUGAAAGGCUUAAGUGGAAAUCAGGACUACCAAGCAGCUGUGUAUCAAAGGCCUGAGUGGUUGACCAUGCACAACCAGCACCAGAAAGGGGAACCAGAGUGUUUUAAGGAGAAAAAUGAAUGUGUGGGCAGAACUGUCUCUAGAGCUGGACGGCAGCUGAAUUUUUGGCUGCUCUAGUCAAAGGGUAUGCCAAACGUAUUCACUCAAGCUUAGGUGUAAUAGAUAUCUCUAAGUUCACAUACAUUCUCUGGAUUCAAAGUGUUCCAUUUUACUGCAGAAGGAGCCAGUCUGUGAAAAUCAAUCCAUAGCUGUCCUGUUCAAUCAGUCUGAAGAACACACUGAAAUCACAAACCACAGGAGUUGGUAUUCCUCCCCCAGCUCUGCUCUUAACGGGAUGCUGACAUCAAAGGAUAUAGGAGCUGUAGUAAGCAAGUGGUCAGAAUGCAAGCAACCAGUUUGAAUUGCUGAAAUCGAAUUAUAAGUAGCAGCUGGCUUCUCUUCUAACUGAGGAUCCAAUGUUUUUUUUUUGUUGUUUUUGUUUUUUAAAGAGGGGGAGGAACCCAGACCAAACAAAAUUCCAAACUAAAUCCAUCUGUCUACUUCUGCUCAACGAAAGUUAAAUAGUAAGUGUGGUGCUUUGAAGCCUAGAUGAAAGUGUCACUGUUCAGCAAAUGUGCAGUCUGUACAAACACACUUUCAUAAGGGCAGAUGUCUUCCUACAGGAGGAAAAAAUAAAUCUCUCUGCAGGUUUCCCUUUCCUCUGUGCCCAUUUUAAUUCUCCCGAAUCAUGAAAUGCAAGCGCGGGCAGGCAGUUAGCGUGCAGCUCCUGCACUCAUUUUGGCUGAGUCAUGAAGUACAGCACAGGCUGCUUUGUCUCAGGGCACUGGGCAAGGAGGCCGCUGUUGAGAGCGGCUUUGGCAGAGAGGGAACACAAAAGCGGGAUUUGGAGUGCGUGACGAGGCAGUGCUGACUGGAGCGACUGCAGGGAGCCCCUCAGCCUGCAGCCCUCCUCACAGCCACCUCACGGCAGCUCACGUGAGGGCAGGAGGAGUUUGGAUGGAAACUGUUUUCUUCUAGCACGUGGUUAGUUGAAUCUCUAGAUCACUAAGCUGACAACUAGCCCAGUCACUGAGUACUAUUUAUUUCCACUGUUCACACAGUAUGUCUCCUGCACUCGAUUUUAGUAUGAGAACUGCUCCCAAGGAAGUAGGCCUCGCUGUGCCCCAAGGUACCCCUUGCAGCCCCUUGCUCCCCAUGCGGUGUGCUUGAAACAACUGCCUCCCACUGUAAUGAUGUCCUACAGCCUUUGCUCGCAAUGAAAAUGGCUUCGGGUUGAACCCUCACCCUUAUUAUCAUCCUCAAAAGAAAAGUUAAGUAUGACAAAUUUGUUAAGGAUAUCUGUAUGGUGCAAGCCCAGUUCCCCAAUUGAGUGGCAGGCUGGCACUCACGUAAUAUAUUUCCAGUAUGCUCCAAUUCUGUUUAGUAUUUAGGAAAAUAGUUUUUAAUCUCUUAUUCUCUAUAUAGUAAUGAAAUCAACUGUGAUUCUUCAUAGUAAUUAGAUAUUUGAUUUAACAUCCAGGCUUUUCACUUCUAAAAAUAAAACAGGAGACAAAGGCAGGUACAGGCACAAUGGAUUAAAUUAUUUUGCUUAACAAGGACAGAAAUAAAAGGCAGAAGUCUCUGUAUGUUGUAUUACUUGCAGUAAUUAUCAAUGUAGGGUCCAUAGAGUUUUUGUGAUUCUAGAACUAAGCGAUGGAUUUAUUCUGGUUAUUUUUUUUUUAUUUCUGGUGACUAAGCCUUCUGUCAUUUUAUCCCACCAGAGGAGAUGAAAAACUUAAUUGUUGCACCAAUAGCUGGUUUUUACAUUUACAUUUGUAUUUGAUCACACCUUCACUGAAAAUAGUGACUCCCCAGUAGUCAGGGCUGUGCUCGGUACUCUUACUUUCCCCUGCCUAAUGGAAAAGGGCUCAGGGUGGUUUCUUUAUGAACGUGUAUUAACCUUAAAAGAAAAAAAAAAAAAUCUUUACAGUUCCUGUUAUGCUCUCAGCAAAUGUUAAUGCUGCGGUAGAAACUACAUAUGCAUCACAUUAACCACAGAAGAUGUUAUCCUGAUAAGUGUUUCACUUGCAUCCUCAGCUGCACUAAUACUAGGCCUACUGCGAAAUUCAUCCAUUGGAAAAUUUCUAUCUAUUUUGAAGCCUUUGACAUGUUUACUAGAAGGUUACUGGGGACUGCUCUCAACUACAGUGAUGACAGAUGGGUUUAUUUAAACUUUGUGGGUACUUUUGGAGACUGAGACCUGCCUAACAUGUUGUAAGAAUGCCGGGAUUAUAAAUGAUGCUAUCCCAUGUAAUCACCAUGGCUUACCUUAGUAACCCUUGAAAAGUAGUGCCACUGUUGCUUGAAUGGAGGCUGGAGUGAUUUUUGUUCUGUUUGGAGUAUCAGGAUUAGAACCAUCUCAAUACAUCUUGUACAUAUCUUUAAAGUAAGAUGAUGUUGAUGUACUGUGCGUUAUGCUGGAUAUCUUCAGUAAUUUGUGCAGUAAGAAACAGGUUUGGGCUUUUUAGCACAAGUUUAUGGUUUCUCUUUUUCAGUCCGUACUUUCCACAUUUUUAAAAGGAUUCCUCUGGUUUCAUUCGCAAAUAGAUAACGUCAGGGAGGUGUUCCCAUUCCCUAAAAAAGAUAGGGGAAGGCCUCUGGUAAAUGCAACGUAGGCGUUACCUUGCAUUCCAGACACGGUCUGCCUUCUGCUUCUCUGAGCCUUCCCAGAGAGAAAGUACCUGAGAUACUUUUGUUGUUGACAUUGUGUAACCGUCGAAGAGGCAUUAGUGACUGUUUGGAAAUAAUGCUGGUUUGACUGACGUGAUCGUUUCAAAGCCACAGUGCAGAUUACUGUCAUAGUUCUGCUUCCAUACAUUAUUUUAAAGAAGCACUGAGGCAGUGGGUUAUGUAAUCCCAGUGACUGCUUUGAACAAUCACUGGAUGUCAAAAUGCAUCAUCUCUGGAAGAGAGAGAACAAAAUGGAAGAAUGGAGUGAUUGGUAAAAUUGAAGUAGAAAGUAUAUUUCGUACUCUUUAAAAGGUACUUACGAACAUAGGGGUUAGUGUAUUGGAACUGUUAAGUUCCAAUCCCUGUUAGCAGGAAUUGUGUUUGUGUAUAGCAAGAGAAGAGAGAGAAUAGAAAAAAAAAAUAUGUAUAUCUGUAUCAGAACGUGGAAUUAUGAGAUUUCAGAGGUUGCAAUAAGAUUAGGGUGAUAUUGAGAUGACUGAGAUGGUCUGACCUUACCUAGUCACAGUGCAUUAAGUAUAAUGUAAAUUACAGUCCUUGUCUUGUGCAUGUUACUGCUGACUUUUCUGAAGAGCAAUAUAUGUUGAAGAAAUUAGUAUUGGAAAAACAGACUUGCCAUGGGCAAAUAGUUGGAAACUUUUUAAGAGGUAUGUAUAUCUUCACAAGGUUUAAGCAUGAAAUACCAGUCUGGGCUUCUUAGGCAUGUCUGUACUAUGUGACACUGCCUUGUUCAACCUUGAUGGUUGUAAUAGUCGCUUUGCUUACUCAAGAGAAUAAUUAAGGGUACAGUUUCAUUUUAUAGCUCAUCUGAUGUAACUGAGCCUUGCCACCUGAAUGAUAGGUUAAAUUUGAAGGUCAUGUGGCCAAUGAGAUAAUUGGAUAGCUUCACUGCUCCCACGCAACUUUCAACCAUGCCAUCAUUGGAUCCAAAGCAAUAAAUAUUUGGCUGGAUCAGAGGAGAAAAGCAAUUCUUCUGGUGGGUAUUGACAGCUGUAUAGGUUUAGCUCUGACACGAGGGGACACCUUUCAACUUCCUAGGCAUGAAUGUGUGCUCAAGAGAAGUAAUUGGAAUUUAUUUUGGACUAUAUGUUCUCUUUCGUUUCAUAUUCUGGGGGUUGUCAGUAUAGUUCCAGCUGAGCUCAGAGGUGAAUGAAUAUCAGUUUCUUCAUUGCCUCUUGCUGCAAAAGUCUUAAGUAGAAUGAGUUACCUCUGUACUAGUUGUACUGUCACCAGUGCAGGAAUUUGUGCCCCUUCUCUGACAGCUAGUUUCUCCUACUCUGAUUCCUGUCUGCUUCAGAGGAAUACCGUUAACCUGAGCUGUUUCUAAAGAGGAUCCCAGGAGGGCAGGGAAAAGCAAAUGAGCAACAGUUUCUGCUUCCGUCCUUUGUGCGGGUGUGUACGUAUGUGUUGCUGGGUUGCAUGACUCACCGUGCUGCCUGAUGAAGUAAAUGGGAAUGCGUGAGCUUCCAAAGCAAGUACAAAGUAUUUCCCAUAAAUAGUGAUACUGCACUUUUAUGACUCUGCAGAGCUAAAUUUAGAGAUGGCUUCAAGAUGUGCUUUCUAAAAAGUAACGUUUCUUUAUACCUGCCAUUCCCACUUCACACACACACACACACACACAUACACAGGCAUACUACAGAGCUGUUUGGAUGGGGAUGGGGAGCUGCUGUCUGCAUGCACUCCUAUGAGUUUUCUUAUUGCAGUGCUUGUACCUGUAUGUGGUAUAAACUCAGCUCUUUUAGGGUGAUUGACAUUGUAUGUAUGUAAAACAGCGGGGGAGGGCGUGAUUUAAUAUCUUCUGCUGAAUUGAAAACAGCAUAUGUGAUAAAAACUCAGAGUGUGCUUUGUAUACUUCAGGCUGGUUUUAGAAAUCACAUAAAAUGCAGUGUGGAGUCUGCCUGGCUACUCGGACAGAGCCGUGACGUCUGUCCGCUUUACUCAGCGGGGAUCCCAUGGUUCCUGUUCACCAUUCAGCAUGUGUUGACUCCUGCUGAGAGAAGAGAAGUUCCUGUUCCGGGCAGCAUAGGACAGUAACUCAUGCCUUGCUAAUAUGAAUCAGCUUGCAGAUUUAUUUAUUUUUUUUAGCCUCCACUGUGGGGAUAUUUUAGGUUUUUGCUUGGCUUGUGGCACAGCCACACCUCCGAGCUAAGCAUUGGUCUCCUGUAGUCAGUAUUCCUCUCUUCUCUAUUCUGUCCCCCGUCUGUUCCCCAGGGCUGUGGCAGAGCAGGAUGGCACGUCAGCCCUGGCUGCUUUCAUUGGGAGGUUUGGCCUCAGUGCUGAAAGCUGACUCAACACUUGUUCAUAGUUUAAAGGGGCCGAAGUCUACUUUAUACUGUAUGUGACACAGCUUUUAACCUCUGAAAUGCCAUCCUCCUGUGGAUCGCACUGCAAAACUGCUCUUGUUUUUUUUUUCAGUAUUAUUAUGGAAAGGACUAUGGGGAGUACCAGCCUGGCUGGACUGACCUCCCACGUAACAUCACUUCGUUGAUAGUUCCAAUCAAAGUAACACUGUCCACGGGGAAAACAACGUGUGCUGUUUUGGUUUGGUUUGGUUUUUUUUUAGCAUUCCUCUGGUUAUUGUUUUGAAAUCACUGGAGGAAGCAAACAUGUUUUCCAGCAUUGCAUUUUGAUAAAAAAACAGCACUGAAUGAAUGCUUCAUAACAUGCUGCCAGGAAUCCACGCAGUUCUCAACAGAUCAUCCUUUUGGUUUUCAGUAAAGUGCUUAAUCAUCUAAUGUGAAGGAUGGAAUUUAUGCAGCGAGGUGCACUAUUAGAUGCUGAAGCACUCAUGAAUUUCUAUUCAGAUGUGAUUGCUGUAACUAUGAAGAUAGAUCUCUGGCUAAUAUAAAUGUAUUAAAGUCCUGGGGAGAUUUCCUUACCAAGCUAACCAAGGUGGGCUGGAUUUAUACUUGAAGAAAUUCAUUCAUGAUUGCUCAGAUAUUCUGAGUAAAGUAAACCUGUGGAAACUAAGGCUUGAAGAGACUGGGAUAACUACCAUAAAUCAGUAAGUAUGAGUUAUGCCUGAACUGCUUCUGACAGGUAUAUAGGUGCUUGGUUACAAGCUAGGUCAUUAUGGAGGGGGUGAGGGUCCCACAGAAUUCAUCCCAGAGCUUUUAUUUUCUCUUCAACAUGUUCCCUGGAUGUUUAGUUUACACCUUUAGUGUAAGCCCAGUUCACUGUGUGCAUAAAGAACGCUGUACCUCCUUGUUGCUCUGUCUCUGCAACAGCCUUCCUAUAACUAUCAUCUUUCCCCACAGUUGAAAAACUCUUCCUGUUUAAGCUAAAAAUUAUUAUCGCCAACUAUGCUUCACAGACCAACUAUAGUUUUUUAGUUUUCUUCUGGAUCGUAUCACAUCUUGAGGGGUGACUCCUAAGCAGAGCAAAGUAUCCAAGCAGCAGCUUUAAUCGGUAAGAAGAGUGGAAGGUUUAUCUUGCAUAUCUUGCAGCACUUCUGUUUAUACAUCUCAGUAUGUUUGCCUUUUUCACAAGAGUAUGGCAGUGUUGACUUGGCUUUGCGAUUCACUCUCAUCCCAGCUGGUAGCUACAGCUUCUCCUGUGUUUAUGCAGAGAACCAUUCAAUAAAAACAAAAAAUAUUAACCUUGAUUUAUUUCCUAAUUAUUCUAGACCAUUUUUUUCCAGCUUGCCCACGUUGCUCUGAAUUCUGCUCUUGGUCCCUGAAGUGCUCAGCUUCCUCCCAGCAUGCUACUUUAUAUCACUUUUGUAUGUAUUUAUAUCUGUAUAUCUGCAAGACGGAAUAACAUCUGUCCACAGAAACUGAUUUGGUACAACCUUCCAUAGUGAUACUACAAUUCCUUUUGAGUUUUCCAGUUGGUCUCUCACACUUCCAUUAUUUUGACCAAAGUCUGCUGACGUUACUUCUGUAAGUUGCAUGUAAGAAGUCCAGUCUUUCAUCAAGUUAAAUGAUAACCAUGUUUCUCCAUCCAUAAGUCUGUUAAACCCGUGACAGUAGAAAAUAUGAGUUUGAUGCAAUCUGCUUUAACGAGUCUGUAGCUGUUGCUUAUCAACCUACUAUCUUCUAAAAAUAGUUAUUUGUUCCAAUAUAUUUUUCCAGGAAUUGAAAUUAGACUGACUGCUCCUUGAUAG